GGAGCGUUCUGUAAGCCUGCGAAGGUGUGCUGUGAGGCAUGCUGGAGGUAUCAGAAGUGCGAAUGCUGACAUAAGUAACGAUAAAGCGGGUGAAAAGCCCGCUCGCCGGAAGACCAAGGGUUCCUGUCCAACGUUAAUCGGGGCAGGGUGAGUCGACCCCUAAGGCGAGGCCGAAAGGCGUAGUCGAUGGGAAACAGGUUAAUAUUCCUGUACUUGGUGUUACUGCGAAGGGGGGACGGAGAAGGCUAUGUUGGCCGGGCGACGGUUGUCCCGGUUUAAGCGUGUAGGCUGGUUUUCCAGGCAAAUCCGGAAAAUCAAGGCUGAGGCGUGAUGACGAGGCACUACGGUGCUGAAGCAACAAAUGCCCUGCUUCCAGGAAAAGCCUCUAAGCAUCAGGUAACAUCAAAUCGUACCCCAAACCGACACAGGUGGUCAGGUAGAGAAUACCAAGGCGCUUGAGAGAACUCGGGUGAAGGAACUAGGCAAAAUGGUGCCGUAACUUCGGGAGAAGGCACGCUGAUAUGUAGGUGAAGUCCCUUGCGGAUGGAGCUGAAAUCAGUCGAAGAUACCAGCUGGCUGCAACUGUUUAUUAAAAACACAGCACUGUGCAAACACGAAAGUGGACGUAUACGGUGUGACGCCUGCCCGGUGCCGGAAGGUUAAUUGAUGGGGUCAGCGCAAGCGAAGCUCUUGAUCGAAGCCCCGGUAAACGGCGGCCGUAACUAUAACGGUCCUAAGGUAGCGAAAUUCCUUGUCGGGUAAGUUCCGACCUGCACGAAUGGCGUAAUGAUGGCCAGGCUGUCUCCACCCGAGACUCAGUGAAAUUGAACUCGCUGUGAAGAUGCAGUGUACCCGCGGCAAGACGGAAAGACCCCGUGAACCUUUACUAUAGCUUGACACUGAACAUUGAGCCUUGAUGUGUAGGAUAGGUGGGAGGCUUUGAAGUGUGGACGCCAGUCUGCAUGGAGUCGACCUUGAAAUACCACCCUUUAAUGUUUGAUGUUCUAACGUGGACCCGUGAUCCGGGUUGCGGACAGUGUCUGGUGGGUAGUUUGACUGGGGCGGUCUCCUCCUAAAGAGUAACGGAGGAGCACGAAGGUUGGCUAAUCCUGGUCGGACAUCAGGAGGUUAGUGCAAUGGCAUAAGCCAGCUUGACUGCGAGCGUGACGGCGCGAGCAGGUGCGAAAGCAGGUCAUAGUGAUCCGGUGGUUCUGAAUGGAAGGGCCAUCGCUCAACGGAUAAAAGGUACUCCGGGGAUAACAGGCUGAUACCGCCCAAGAGUUCAUAUCGACGGCGGUGUUUGGCACCUCGAUGUCGGCUCAUCACAUCCUGGGGCUGAAGUAGGUCCCAAGGGUAUGGCUGUUCGCCAUUUAAAGUGGUACGCGAGCUGGGUUUAGAACGUCGUGAGACAGUUC
rnacentral:rRNA from 1 species